CGUACACUCUACGGGAGGCAGCAGUGGGGAAUAUUGGACAAUGGGCGCAAGCCUGAUCCAGCCAUGCCGCGUGAGUGAUGAAGGCCCUAGGGUUGUAAAGCUCUUUCACCGGUGAAGAUAAUGACGGUAACCGGAGAAGAAGCCCCGGCUAACUUCGUGCCAGCAGCCGCGGUAAUACGAAGGGGGCUAGCGUUGUUCGGAUUUACUGGGCGUAAAGCGCACGUAGGCGGACUAUUAAGUCAGGGGUGAAAUCCCGGGGCUCAACCCCGGAACUGCCUUUGAUACUGGUAGUCUUGAGUUCGAGAGAGGUGAGUGGAAUUCCGAGUGUAGAGGUGAAAUUCGUAGAUAUUCGGAGGAACACCAGUGGCGAAGGCGGCUCACUGGCUCGAUACUGACGCUGAGGUGCGAAAGCGUGGGGAGCAAACAGGAUUAGAUACCCGUGUAGUCCCAUGAU
rnacentral:rRNA from 1 species